GACGAACGCUGGCGGCGUGCCUAAUACAUGCAAGUCGAGCGAUGAAGCUUGGUUCUUGCACCAAUUUGAAGAGCAGCGAACGGGUGAGUAACGCGUGGGGAAUCUCCCUUUGAGCGGGGGACAACCUUUGGAAACGAAUUCUAAUACCGCAUAACAACUUUAAACAUAAGGUUUAAGUUUGAAAGAUGCCAUUGCGUCACUCAGAGAUGAACCCGCGGUGUGUUAGCUAGUUGGUGGGGUAAAGGCUCACUAAGGCGUUGAUGGGUAGCCGGCCUGAGAGGGUGACCGGACACAUGGGGACUGAGAUACGGCCCAGACUCGUACGGGAGGCAGGAGUGGGGAAUAUUGAACAAUGGGCGGAAGCCUGAUGCAGCAACGCCGCGUGCGGGAUGACGGCCGUCGGGUUGUAAACCGCUUUCGCCUGUGACGAAGCGUGAGUGACGGUAAUGGGUAAAGAAGCACCGGCUAACUACGUG
rnacentral:rRNA from 1 species